UACGUAGGGUGCAAGCGUUGUCCGGAAUUAUUGGGCGUAAAGAGCUCGUAGGCGGUCUGUCGCGUCUGCUGUGAAAACUCGGGGCUUAACCCCGGGCCUGCAGUCGAUACGGGCAGACUGGAGUUCGGCAGGGGAGACUGGAAUUCCUGGUGUAGCGGUGGAAUGCGCAGAUAUCAGGAGGAACACCGGUGGCGAAGGCGGGUCUCUGGGCAGUAACUGACGCUGAGGAGCGAAAGCGUGGGGAGCGAACAGG
rnacentral:rRNA from 1 species